rnacentral:rRNA from 1 species
CAAUAGCGUAUAUUAAAGUUGUUGCAGUUAAAAAGCUCGUAGUUGGAUUUCUGGUAGGAGCGACCAUACCGGACUUGAUUGUCCGCGUAAUGCGUUGUCUCCAGCCAUCCUCGUGGAGAUUGUUUUUGGCAUUAACUUGUCGAAUUCGGGACCCGCGUCAUUUACUGUGAAAAAAUUAGAGUGUUUAAAGCAGGCAAUUGGCUUGAAUACAUUAGCAUGGAAUAAUAAGAUAGGACUUUGGUGCUAUUUUGUUGGUUUGCACAUCAAGGUAAUGAUUAACAGAAUCAGUCGGGGAUAUUCGUAUGCAAAUGUCAGAGGUGAAAUUCUUGGAUUUUUUACAGACGAGCAACUGCGAAAGCAUUUAUCAAGGAUGUUUUCAUUAA